UAGUAGCGAAGUUCCUGAUUCCACACUGCCAAGAAAAGCCUCUAGCGAGGUGGGAGGUGCCCGUACCGCAAACCGACACAGGUAGGCGAGGGGAGAAUCCUAAGGUGAUCGAGAGAACUCUCGUUAAGGAACUCGGCAAAAUGACCCCGUAACUUCGGGAGAAGGGGUGCUCUGUUAGGGUGCAAGCCCGAGAGAGCCGCAGUGAAUAGGCCCAGGCGACUGUUUAGCAAAAACACAGGUCUCUGCGAAGCCGUAAGGCGAAGUAUAGGGGCCGACGCCUGCCCGGUGCUGGAAGGUUAAGAGGAGCGCUUAGCGUAAGCGAAGGUGCGAAUUGAAGCCCCAGUAAACGGCGGCCGUAACCAUAACGGUCCUAAGGUAGCGAAAUUCCUUGUCGGGUAAGUUCCGACCCGCACGAAAGGCGCAACGAUCUGGGCACUGUCUCAACGAGAGACUCGGUGAAAUUAUAGUACCUGUGAAGAUGCAGGUUACCCGCGACAGGACGGAAAGACCCCGUGGAGCUUUACUGCAGCCUGAUAUUGAAUGUUGGUACAGCUUGUACAGGAUAGGUAGGAGCCUUGGAAACCGGAGCGCCAGCUUCGGUGGAGGCAUCGGUGGGAUACUACCCUGGCUGUAUUGACCUUCUAACCCGCCGCCCUUAUCGGGCGGGGAGACAGUGUCAGGUGGGCAGUUUGACUGGGGCGGUCGCCUCCUAAAAGGUAACGGAGGCGCCCAAAGGUUCCCUCAGAAUGGUUGGAAAUCAUUCGCAGAGUGUAAAGGCACAAGGGAGCUUGACUGCGAGACCUACAAGUCGAGCAGGGACGAAAGUCGGGCUUAGUGAUCCGGUGGUUCCGCAUGGAAGGGCCAUCGCUCAACGGAUAAAAGCUACCCCGGGGAUAACAGGCUUAUCUCCCCCAAGAGUCCACAUCGACGGGGAGGUUUGGCACCUCGAUGUCGGCUCAUCGCAUCCUGGGGCUGUAGUCGGUCCCAAGGGUUGGGCUGUUCGCCCAUUAAAGCGGUACGCGAGCUGGGUUCAGAACGUCGUGAGACAGUUCGGUCCCUAUCCGUCGCGGGCGCAGGAAAUUUGAGAGGAGCUGUCCUUAGUACGAGAGGACCGGGAUGGACGCACCGCUGGUGUACCAGUUGUUCUGCCAAGGGCAUCGCUGGGUAGCUAUGUGCGGACGGGAUAAGUGCUGAAAGCAUCUAAGCAUGAAGCCCCCCUCAAGAUGAGAUUUCCCAUUCCGCAAGGAAGUAAGAUCCCUGAAAGAUGAUCAGGUUGAUAGGUCUGAGGUGGAAGUGUGGCGACACAUGGAGCUGACAGAUACUAAUCGAUCGAGGACUUAACC
rnacentral:rRNA from 1 species